AUCUAAUUAUAGAACACGGUUGGAAUGAAAUUCCCCAAUAUUCGACAAAUCCAGAGGGUCGGCGGAAAAGAUAGCUUGACGUUGAAGAUAAGAUUACAACCGUAGAUCAUUCUCCACCGCCUCAAUUUGAUGGUCCGAUUCUCUCACUCGCAUCAAAUCUCACCUAUAAAUACCUAUUAACUAAGACCCAACUUCUGCAAUAAUUUUUGCAGGCGGGUCAAGAUGUAGGGAUGUUUCUGGUAUUUCUUCGGCAGGGCUCGAUCGAAUGAUAAAUGGUUCAGGUCCUACUAUGGCUGUAUGGAGAAAAUUAAAAUUUCCGUUCUAUUAUUUACUCUCUCCGAGUUUUGUUACGAUUUAGGUUUUAGGGUUUGAUGCCUGUUUUUCUGUAGUUUGUUCUGUUCAACAGAAAUAUAUUCUGGACCUAAACUUUUCUCUGGUCCAAUCAACAAUGAUUUUUAAGCUUCUCACCGAGGUCAGGCAGAUCACGUGUUUCUACGCCUCAUGCUUUUUCAAUUCAUAACUGUGGUGAAUUUUUUGAUUGCAAUAUAAUGAAUAUUGACCCGAGUUAACAGAUCAUACACGGAGGAGGGACGACAUCUAGCCUGAUUUCCCCCUAUUUAAUCAAGAACGUGGGGGCAUUAUUUAUAUCUCUGAUAUAAUUGUGCUGGUGUAUAACGUUUUCUUCAUGUGUAGGCCAACUGAGUGGAAAAUUAGGUGUGUCAAAUGAGGACAUGGAUAAAUCUUAAGAAAGUACAGUACGAUCUAAAUUUCAUCCUCGGCCUCGGUUUUUAUGCGAUUGUCGUUUUUGCGGUUUGUUAUUGGGUAUUGUUGGUUUUUAUUUUCCCUUAGUCUCUCUUUAAGAAAGAUUUUAGUCCAUCUUCCAUAAGAAAGAUUUUGUUGUGUUUAUGCUACGGAGGGGUGAGCCUGACCAGCUGCAGGGAAAGUGAUGCUCAAUUUAUCUUGAUCGUAGAUGAGGCGAUGGAAGACAACUAAAGUCCCGUUGGGGGAGAGUCCAUCGGUAGAUGAGGUGAUGUUCAUCGGAAGGAGUAGCCAGCCAGAAUUGACAGGUUUUAGAUGCUUCGAAUUUGAGUACCAUCUCUCCUUCAAUCUCUCUUUUUCUCCAAUAUAUCCUAGUCGAUUUGCAGAGAUCAUUUAUUGCAGGCUAGUAAGGUAGAUUGAAUCGAACACAAAUUAGUAUAUGGUUAUGGUUUAUGGUAUCUUCAGGGUUUCACUAUAAUCAUUGGUGUGGUGCAAUCUGGGUCGCGAGUUUUGCAGAUUGACCUUGAUUUUAUUUUCUGGCAUUGAGGGUUUAACCACGAUCAUUGAAGCAUUGUCCAAAAUAAUUUGAAAUAUUAAUUUUAAAAGCUUUUACGAAAAGGCGUUGAAGGGUCUUGUGUCAACAUAGUCCUUGAGCGAAAACAUUGAUGGCCGUGGAGUAAAUCAUCCUUGGUAAUCUGUAAGUAACUUCUUAUUGGCAUAAUUUAUUUUUGCAAUUUAAUUUGCUCCUCCAAUUGGGUUUAAGAAAGGAUUAAAACAGUUCUAUGGGGAAACAUUCCGAAGAUAACUAUGCUACAGUAUGCGAAGAAACUUCAUUGGUUUGUGCCUCAGUAUGGAGGAGGUUAGUGUGUAUCUUAAUAGUGGAUGUCUAUUUCAUUACAUGCGAGGUUUUUUUGAAAUGCUAAUCGUUUAUAGCAAAUUCACCUUUAUUUAUCAUUUGCAUUUACCUUUUAAGCUAGUAUGUAGUCGUUUAUCUUAGGCAGGUAGUUCGGAACAGCAGAAAUCAGAGACUGAGGAACGGUGAUGUGCGAUUCAUUAGUUAUUACCGAUUACCAUUAAGUAAAUUAGAGUUUCGUAAGUAAAAUUUUUCCAGUUUAUUUUGUCGAGAGGUAUUAACUUUGUUGAGAUCUGAGGGACUCAAAUCUGUUGUCUUCCCUAGGUAAGAAAGAGUGCUCCAAUGCACACGGAGUUAAAUUUCGACUGUGGUUUGUGUAUCUGAAUGGUGGAGGUUUGUGUGUAUUUGAAUGGUGGAUGUCUCCUUCAUUACAGGCACAGAUCUUUGAAACCCUGAUCGCUGUAACCAUAGUCACCAUUAUAUACCAUUUGCGUAUCUGAAUGGGGGAUGUCUACUUCAUUACAGGCAGGGAUCUUUGAAACCCUAAUCAGUAAUACUAUAGUCACCUUUACAUAUAAUUUGCAUUUACUUUUAAGCUAGGAUAUAGUCGUUUAAUCUUCGGCAGUUAACUUACGAACAUUUGAAAUCAGAGACUGCGAAACAGAGUUGUGCGCUUGAUCACCGAUUAUUACCAAGUAAAUCAAAGUUUUGUAAGUUAAAUGUUGGAUGUCUACUUCACUACAAACCCUAAUCGGUGGUACCAUAGUCACCUUUAUAUAUCAUUUGUGUAUCUAAAUGGUGGAUGUCUACUUCAUUACAGGCAGGGAUCUUUGUAACCAUAAUCAGUGGUACCAUAGUCACCUUUAUAUGUCAUUCUCAUUUACUUUUAAGAUAGGGUGUAGUCGUUUAUCUUCGUCAGGUAAUUCCAAGCUGUGGAAAUCAGAGACUGCGGAACAGAGUUGUGCGCUUGAUUGCCGAUUACCAUGUAAGUCAAAGUUUUGUAAGUAAAAUGGUGGAUGUCUACUUAACUACAGGAAGGCAUGUUUGAAACCCUAAUUGGCUGUACCAUAGCUACCUUUUAUAUAUCAUUUGUAUUUACUUUCAAGCUAGGAUGUCGUCGUUUAUCUUCGGCAGGUAGUUCCGAACAGUGGAAAUCAGAGACUGGAACAGAGUUGUGCGCUUGAUCGCGGAUUACCAUUAAUUAAAUCAAUGUUAUGUUGUAAGUAAACUGUUGGAUGUCUACUUCAUUACAGGAAGGGAUAUUUGAAACCCGAAUUGGUUGUACCUUUAUAUAUUUUUUGCAUUUACUUUUAAGCUAGUUGGAUGUAGUCGUUUAUCUUCGGCAGGUAGAUCCGAACAUUGAAAAUCAGAGACUGCGGAACAGAUUUGUGUGCCUGAUCGCCGAUUACCACCAAGUAAAUUAAAGUUUUGUAAGUAGAUUCGUUUCAGCUUAUCUCAUCAUGAGGUUUAGGACUCAAACCUGUUUGACUUUCUCAGGUAACAGACUGUCGAAUCUUGCUAGUAGGAGGUCUAUGUUAUUUACUUUAUUUUAAAUUUAGUGCUGGGUUUUUAAUUAGUUAGCAUUCAACUUAUAUCGACUGAAGUUAAUGCAGUGAAGUAACGUGAUUUAGCUGCACAGUACCUUGUAUCGUCUAUUGUAAACUCUUAUCUGUUCUUUGAGGUAAUUGAUAAGAAUUGAUUUGAUCUUUAGUUCUGUUAGAAUUUUGUCAUUGUUUACAGAACACAAUGUUCUCUUCCUAAAAUUGAAGAGAGUACCCACAGUGAACUUGGAUUUGAUGUUCCGAGCUAUAUAAUAAUGCGACUUCCAAUUUUGGAAGGAAGAGUAAGAUGAGAACUCUUUUUAAACUUCCCUUAUUUGAGAAUUCAAAGCUGUCUCUGAAAUUAUUUUUCUACGUUUUGUUCUCGUGUUGAAUGGUAUGAAGUCUCAACUUGAUAAACGAUGAAUCAACAUUUCUUUCAUGUCUGGGUUAAUAGGUGUACACAUGGAAGAGAGUGCCCACAGUGGACAUGGAUGUGGCAUUUCUAGCUGUGCAACAAUGCAACUUCCAGUUUUGGAAGGAGGAUAAGAAAUCUUUAACUCCCAGAUUUGAAUCAAAAGCUGUUUCUGCAAUUAUUUUUCUGCUUUUGUUCUCUUGCAUUGAACGGUAAUGUCUUAACUUGAUAAAGGAUGAAUCAACAUUUUUUUCAUGUCUGGGUUAUAAUAGGUGUAUACAUGGAAAGAGAAUGCCCCCAGUGGACAUGGAUUUGGUGUUUCAAGUUAUAAAACAAUGCAACUUUUAGUUUUAGGAGGAGGAUAAGAACUUCUUAACUCCCUUAUUUGAAUUCAAAGCUGUCUCUGAAAUUAUUUUUCUGCGUUUUGUUCUCGUGUUGAAUGGUAUGAAGUCUUAACUUGAUAAAGGAUGAAUCAACGUUUCUUUCAUGUUUGGGUGUAAUAGGUGUAUACAAGAGAGUGCCCACAGUGGAAAUGGAUUUGGUGUUUCUAGCUAAAUGACAAUGCAACUUCCAGUUUUGUAUGGAGGAUAAGAACUCUGUAACUCCCAUAUAUGAAUCAAAAGCUGUGUCUGCAAUUAUUUUUCUGCUUUUGUUCUCUUGCAUUGACCAGGUAAUGUCUUAACUUGAUAAAGGAUGAAUCAACAUUUCUUUCAUGUCUGGGUUAAUAGGUGUAUACAUGGAAAGAGAAUGCCCCCAGUGGACAUGGAUUUGGUUUUUCAAGCUAUAUAAAACAAUGCAACUUCUAGUUUGGAAGGAGGAUAAGAACUUCUUAACUCCCUUUUUUGAAUUCAAAGCUGUCUCUGAAAUUAUUUUUCUGCGUUUUGUUCUCGUUUUGAAUGGUAUGAAGUCUUAAUUUGAUGAAGGAUGAAUCAACAUUUCUUUAAUGUCUGGGUAUAAUAGGUGUAUACAUGGAAGAGAGUGCCCACAGUGGACAUGGAUUUGGUGUUUCUAGCUAUAUAACAAUGGAGCUAUAUAACAAUGCAACUUCCAGUCUUGGAAGGAGGACAAGAACUCUUUUAACUCCCAGAUUUGAAUCAAAAGCUGUCUGCAAUUAUUUUUCUGCUUUUGUUCUCUUGCAUUGAACGGUAAUGUCUUAACUUUAUAGGAUGAAUCAACAUUUCUUUCAUGUCUGGGUUAAUAGGUGUAUACAUGGAAAGAGACUGCCCCCUGUGGACAUGGAUUUGGUGUUUCAAGCUAUAUAACAAUGCAACUUCUAGUUUUGGAAGGAGGAUAAGAAUUUCUUAACUCCCUUAUUUGAUUUCAAAGCUGUCUCUGAAAUUAUUUUUCUGCGUUUUGUUCUGGUGUUGAAUGGUAUGAAGUCUUUAACUUGAUAAAGGAUGAAUCAACGUUUCUUUCAUGUCUGGGUAUAAUAGGUGUAUACAUGGAAGAGAGUGCCCCCAGUGGACAUGGAUUUGGUGUUUCUAGCUAUAUAACAAUGCAACUUCCAGUUUUGGAAGGAGGAUAAGAACUCUUUUAACUCCCAGAUUUGAAUCAAAAGCUGUCUGCAAUUAUUUUUCUGUUUUUGUUCGCUUGCAUUGAACGGUAAUGUCUUAACUUGAUAAAGGAUGAAUCAACUACUCUUUCGUGUCUGGGUUAAUAGGUGUAUACAUGGAAAGAGAAUGCCCCCACUGGACAUGGUUUUGGUGUUUCAUGCAACUUCUAGUUUUGGAAGGAGGAUAAGAACUUCUGAACUCCCUUAUUUGAAUUCAAAGCUGUCUCUGAAAUUAUUUUUCUGCGUUUUUGUUGAAUGGUAUGAAGUCUUAAUUUGAUAAAGGAUGAUACAACGUUGCUUUCAUGUCUGGGUAUAAUAGGUGUAUACAUGGAAGAGAGUGCCCACAGUGGACAUGGAUUUGGUGUUUCUAGCUAUAUAACAAUGCAACUUCCAGUUUUGGAAGGAGGAUAAGAACUCUUAACUCCCAGAUUUGAAUCAAAAGUGUGUCUGCAAUUAUUUUUUUGCUUUUGUUCUCUUGCAUUGAACAGUAAUGUCUUAACUUGAUAAAGGAUGAAUGAACAUUUCUUUCGUGUCUGGGUUAAUAGGUGUAUACAUGGAAAGAGAAUGGCCCCCAGUGGACAUGGAUUUGGUGUUUCAAGCUAUAAAACAAUGCAACUUUUAGUUUUGGAAGGAGGAUAAGAACUUCUUCACUCCCUUAUUUGAAUUCAAAGCUGUCUCUGAAAUUAUUUUUCUGUGUUUUGUACUCGUGUUGAAUGGUAUGAAGUCCUUUUUCAUAAAAGGAUGAAUCAACGUUUUUUUCAUGUUUGGGUAUAAUAGGUGUAUACAUGGAAGAGAGUGCCCACAGUGGACAUGGAUUUGGUGUUUCUAGCUAUAUGACAAUGCAACUUCCAGUUUUGGAAGGAUGAUAAGAACUCUUUUAACUCCCAGAUUUGAAUCCAAAGCUGUCUGCAAUUAAUUUUCUGCUUUUUUUCUCUUGCAUUGAACGGUAAUGUCUUAACUUGAUAAAGGAUGAAUCAACAUUUUUUUCAUGUCUGGGUUAAUAGGUGUAUACAUGGAAAGAGAAUGUCCCCAGUGGACAUGGAUUUGGUGUUUCAAGCUAUAAAACAAUGCAACUUCUAGUUUUGGAAGGAGGAUAAGAACUUCUUAACUCCCCUAUUUGAAUUCAAAGUUGUCUCUACAAUUAGUUAAAAGAAUUCAUUUGAUCUUUAGUUUUGUUAGAAUUGUCAUUGUUUUACAGAAAACAUUGUUCUGUCUAUACAUGGAAGAGCACGUCCAUAGCAGACAUGGAUUUGGUGUUUCAAGUUAUAAAACAAUGCAACAUCUAGUUUUGGGAGGAGGAUAAGAACUUUGUAUUCAAAGCUAUCUCUGCAAUUAUUUUCUUCGUUUUGUUCUCUUGCUUGAACGGUGUGAAGGCUCAUACUUAAUAAAGGAUGGAUCAUUUAUUUCUUAUUUGGGUCAAUAGGUAUAUUACAUGGAAGAGGGUGCCCACAGUGGACAUGGAUUUGGUGUUUCAAGCUAUAAAACAAUGCAAUUUCUAGUUUUUAGAGGAGGAUAAGAACUUCUUAACUGCGUGAUUUGAAUUCAAAGUUGUCGCUGCAAUUAGUUUAAAGAAUUGAUUUGAUCUUAUUUUUCAGAAUUUUGUCAUUGUUUACAAAAAACAAUGUUUUCUGUCUAUACAGAUGGUGAGGUAGUAGCCAACUUAAACGUGGCGUUAAACAGUCUCGUUGUAUGAUCCGACCUAUGUUAUUACAUUGAAUAACAGGAAUUAAGUGGUACAUUUUUUAUUUCCUUGCUAUAAGUAGUAAUGCAGUGCAAUGUCUCGUCUCUUACAACGCCUAUUUUCUUUUCUUUGUACUCACUGUUUUAUACAUAAGAUGAACAUAUUAGUUUGAUAGCAUACAAACUGUUUUAUGGUUUUGUUGGAGUGCCUGAUUGGUCCAGGUUUCUGAAGGAAGGUUGAGGUAAUGAUUAAUCUGCUUAAAAUGUUUUUGUAGUCACUCUUAUCUUGAAGUGAAUGGAAGUUUUCAUGUAGCAAGGAAGGGUUAAGAAGUAGCCCUUUUCUGCUGGGUUCGAAGGAUAUGUUACAGUUUUCUCCAGUGGUGUCGAAUUUUGUCAGUUGGAUGUCAUUUUCUAUUCCGAAUAUGAUUUCAGCUUUGAUGAAAAUAACCCUUUUCUUAAAGUUUUUGUAAGCAUUGUGUACUUUGUUUAUACAGAUUCGUUGGCAAGCCCGAGGUGGAUUUGUUGGCUUGGCUUUGCGUAUGUGUGCGGAAUUGGCAAUAUGGCAAUAUGCUUGAUCAUUCAUAAGCAAUCCUUUUCUGAUGGGUUCUAAGGAUUUGUUACAGUAUUCUGCAGUAGAGUCCAAUUUUGUCAGUAGGAUGUCAAUUUCUUUUCCGGAUAUGAAUUCAGCUUUGAUGAAAAUAACUAUUUUCUGAAAGUUUUUGUAAGCAUUGUGCCUUUUAGUUUAUGCAAAACAUUGUACUUUGUUUGUACAGAUGAGUUGGCAAGCCCAAGGUGGGUUCGUUGGCUUGGCUUUGCAUGUGUGGAAUUGGAUAUAUGCGUGAUCAUUCAUUUUCAGUUCAUUCUCCUGCGUUCUAAUAAAGUAUUUGUGACAGUUUCUGAGUGUCUAAUUUUGGCAGUAGGAUUGUCAAUUGCUCAUCUUGAAAUGAAUUCAGUGCCGUCUUUUGAUAAGCAUUGUGCCUUGGGAUUAUGUAAAACGUUGUAUUUUGUUUGUACAGAUGAGGAUUUGGCAAGCCCAGGGUGUCUUUAUGCUUGAUCAUUCAUUUUCAGACCUAUUUUGUUGAAUUCUAAAGGAUGUGUGUCAGUUUUCUGAAAUUCUCUUUACUGAGGUGAGUUAGCAACCUCAUCUGGAAAUCCUAUAUAGUUGGUGUGAUGGGCUGUGUUUAUGCAAGACUAGUUCCGAUAGAGCUCGAUGGAUUUGCGAAUGUGUUAAUUUCUGAAUGUGGCCAUUUGUGAACAUAACCAAUGAUAUUUGUUUAUUUGCGCUGACUAGUGAAUUUUCUAUUGUGAACGGUGAGUUAGCAACCACAUCGGGAAAUUUUGUAUGGUUGGUGUAAUGGGCUAUGCUUGAAUUUUAUAUAUUUGGUGUAAUGAGCUACGCUUGAAUUUUAUAUAGUUGGUGUAAUGGGCUAUAUGAUGCUUGAUUAUGCAAGCCUAGUUCCAAAUGAUCAAAGAGCAUUAAAUUUGUCAAUUUCUGAAUCUGGUCUUUUCUGGUGAACACAAUUAAUCCAAGAGCGUUAAAUUUGUUUUUGAUGCCAACCUAGGUUAAUUGCAGAGAUAUAAAAGGGUGAAGUGUAACAAUAUAUAUUAUGCAAGCCUAGUUCCAAAUGAUCAAAGAGCAUUAAAUUUGUCAAUUUCUGAAUCUGGUCUUUUUUGGUGAACACAAUUAAUCGAAGAGCGUUAAAUUUGUUUUUGAUGCCAACCUAGGUUAAUUGCAGAGAUAUAAAAGGGUGAAGUGUAACAAUAUAUAUUACCUCAUUACAGUGAAGUGACAAUGAAGUCGAAGUGGUGCAAGGUCUCAUCCCAUACCAUCUUCUUAUGUUUCUUCUAUUGUACUUCUGGUAGUCGUCUGUAGUGAAUUUGAUACAUGAAUUUGUUCAUGAGGUACUGAGUUUGUUAUUUGUGCGGGUGAUUGAAGCACGUGCUUCUUGGUUGACAGUCGAAACUGAGUAAAGCUUUACUUUAUCAUCCCUAUUCUGUUGGGUUCUGAUGUUUUGUGACAGUUUUUUCGAGCAGUGAUUUUUUCGUGACUUGUAGUUAGCAACAACAUCUGCUAAGUCUAUAUAGGUUGGAUGAUUGGCUGUGCUUGAUUAUAACCGUUAAUUUUUGAAUCUGGUUUGUGUUGAGAGCAUGAUUAAUCCAAAGAGUAUUUAACUUGUUUUUGACGCUAAGUUAGCUUUUUGCAGCGAAAUAAAAGGACAGUGUAGUAACAAUGAAGGAUAGAAGUGCUGAUAAGUGCUGGGUUUCAUGCUUUACCUUACAAACUUAUUCCCUCACUACAUUGAAAUAACAAGGAAGGAUCUAAGUGGUGAAGGUUUCAUUUUUUAACCAGCGUACAAUGUUUUUUCAGUUGAACUUUUGGUAGUUGUCUGUAGUGAACAUCACAUAUGAACUUCUUCAUGGGGGACUGAGUUUGUGAAUUGGGUGGGUUUUGUACAAAUUAUUGUAGUCGGUGAUUGAGGUACUAGAUCGAUCCAGAGGCAGCUUCUUGGUUGAGAGCUGGAACUAAUUAAAGUUGGAGCUGUUGCAGAUUGUUCAGGGUUGUGAGCUUUUAGGAUUCAGCAUUUGCCCAGUCACCGGCUUAUGAUCCAUCUCCAAUUUUUAUUUUGGCAAGUUGUAUGGCAACAACUUUUAUCAAUUUGGUGUUUAAUCACCUUAGAAGAUCGAAUUAAUUAUUUUAUACUAAUAAUAUUUUGAUCACGUUUGUCUUUAA